CGUGUAGGCGGUCGGCCAAGUCCGGUGUGAAAGCCCGGGGCUCAGCCCCGGAAGUGCACCGGAAACUAGCCGACUUGAGCGCGAUAGAGGAGGGUGGAAUUCCUGGUGUAGCGGUGAAAUGCGUAGAUAUCAGGAGGAACAUCGGCGGCGAAGGCGGCCCUCUGGCUCGUUGCUGACGCUGAGACGCGAAAGCGUGGGGAGCAAACAGGAUUAGAUACCCUGGUAGUCCACGCUGUAAACGAUGGGUACUAGGUGUUCGGGGUGUUGACCCCCUGAGUGCCGACGCUAACGCAUUAAGUACCCCGCCUGGGGACUACGGCCGCAAGGCUAAA
rnacentral:rRNA from 1 species